GUUGUCGAAGAAGCUCGGAUGCUGACGAAGCUCGGAAGAAGUUCAGAGUAGGGUCGUCCGUGGCUGGAAGAAGUCCAGGAGAGACUCGGGGAAUGGUCGGCUGUUGUAGGAGGUCGACUGUCAGUGAGACCCAGAGGGCCUUUGGAGCAGCCCGGUGGGUGAACGCAGAAGUCCAUUGUCAGAGAACUCUGGACGGCCGAGGGAGUUCGGAGAGGCAC
rnacentral:lncRNA from 1 species